GCGUGCGGGAAGAAGGCCUUCGGGUUGUAAACCGCUUUUGUCAGGGAAGAAACGGCUCGCUCUAAUACAGUGGGCUAAUGACGGUACCUGAAGAAUAAGCACCGGCUAACUACGUGCCAGCAGCCGCGGUAAUACGUAGGGUGCAAGCGUUAAUCGGAAUUACUGGGCGUAAAGCGUGCGCAGGCGGUUAUGCAAGACAGAUGUGAAAUCCCCGGGCUCAACCUGGGAACUGCAUUUGUGACUGCAUGGCUAGAGUACGGUAGAGGGGGAUGGAAUUCCGCGUGUAGCAGUGAAAUGCGU
rnacentral:rRNA from 1 species